CUCCUCCGCUCGCCAACAUUCCUCCGCACCCGCAGCUGUUCUUGGUCCGCCCGCGCUGCUAUUCUUCGUACCCCUGCGACAACUAAUCACACUCCCACAUGGACAGCUCAAUCAGCCCGUCUCAUGGGGCUGGUCCGGAUCCGCCUUUGUAUUUCGGAAUUCGCUCCUCCCCUGCGCUCGUCCGAUGGUUGGAUCAUUCUAUCAAUUGGAUCUCGAGGCCCAAGGUUCAAGCAAUCUAUCUGGUUUGUUAAUCCACUUUCUUGUUUUUGCAUUCAAUUAAUGUCUUACAAUAUUUUUCUGAUUGACAGUCGAUCUUUGGAUGCAUGUGAGGCGAAUUGGUUCAGCUGCAUAUGUUUCUCUUCUCUUAUAUCCAGUGAAUGUGUGCCCUGAUUUUCUAUCUACUCCUCAAUCAUGUUGGCUGCCCAUCCCUGCUGGCAUGUUCAUCACGGUAGCAUGUGUGCCACCAUCCUCUGGCUCGUAUCUACUUAUCGGUUGACUCCUCAGUUACUCAGUUUUACUUUAUAGGUCAAGUGUACAAUGUCCUCUUAGUAAGCAACAGAUUUGACAAGGCAAUCACAAAUUGAGAAGUAUGUGGAGCCCCAAGGUUAGGCAUGUGAACAAGCAGUGGAAGGACCUCAAAUUUUCCCUCAGAUCUUUCGAGGUGGUACUGCUCUUCGACGGAAAUACAAACUGGUUGAACCCGAUCUGAAGUUUGGGGCAUUCACAAAGAGGAGGCGAAGUAAGAAAGUGAUAGAUGCGAGCCUAUGAGUCAGAAUAAUAUGAUAGCAGCUUCACAAUAUCCCUUUGUACUAGCGUUGUAAAGACGACGAGAAACCAAAAGUCACAUCAAUGUGGUCGAGUUGAACUUGCAGAUCUAAAAAUCAAAACAUUUUCCAGCUAGAAGAAAAAAAACAUUU